rnacentral:rRNA from 1 species
ACCGACUGAAUUUAAGCAUAUUAUUAAGUCGAGGAAAAAAAACCAACAGGGAUUCCCAUAAUAGCGGCGAGCGAACUGGGAAAGAAUCAUAACGCUAAUCCCUCGGGAGUUGUGCGUUCCUAACUAUGGAUGACGGCUUUCAUUUGGGUGAAACAGUUGACUCUUGUUGUAAUAUUGGAUGCAAGCUCCGAUUCCCAAAUGACGUCAGAUUCUAAGUUAAGAUCAUGAGUAGCGCUUCUUGAGAGUGAAGUGUGGCAGGUGGUAAUCUUCACCGAAAUUAGAAUACAAUCAGUAAACCGAUAGCAAACAAGUACCGUGAGGGAAAAUUGAAAAGCACUUCGAAAGGAGUCUCAAAAGACCUGAAAUCACUUACGAGGAAGCUUACGUGAGACUGUUGAUAAAUAUGUGCUCUACCGUGAGCCAUGUUCUGGUCCUUACGAAAGACCCGUCUUGAAACACGGACCAAGGAGUUGGUUACAGUUGCGAGUAUGACAGUACAAACUGCGAUGCGUAGAUAACUCAAUGACUGAUUUGACGUCAGCGACCAGGGAAACUUGUGUCUGAGCAACUGUGAUCAGACCCGAAAGAUGGUGAUCUAUGCCUGGAUAGGGUGAAGCCAGAGGAAACUCUGGUGGAAGCUCUAAGCGAUACUGACGUGCAAAUCGUUCGUAAAAUUUAGGUAUAGGGGCGAAAGACUAAUCGAACCAUCUAGUAGCUGGUUCCCUCCGAAGUUUCCCUCAGGAUAGCUGGAAGAUUUAGAGUUGCAUCUGGUAAAGCGAAUGAUCAGAGGACUCGGGAACCAUAGUGUUCUCGGCCUAUUCUCAAACUUGAAAUGGAUGCGCGCUAUUACUCAUUCAUUUAGUAACAGCGGUAAAUCUAUCUUCUUAGUGGGCCAUUUUUGGUAAGCAGAACUGGCGAUGAGGGAUGCUCCUUACGUGCGGCGAAGUGCCAAAGAGUUGCUGAUCAGACACCACAAAAGUGUUACUUCAUUGAAACAGCAGGCGGUGGUCAUGGAAGUCGAAAUCCGCUAAGGAGUGUGUAACAACUCACCUGCCGAAUGAAGUAGUCCUGAAAAUGGAUGGCGCUCAAGCAACUCACCGCUACCGCACCAGCGACAUAAUAUAGUUGCUGUGUAGGAGGGCGUGUGGAUAACGUCGAAGAAUGAUACGCAAGUUCAUUUCGAGUUGUCUUCAGUGCAGAUCUUGGUGUGAGUAGCAACUAGUCAUGUGUAAAACGUGACAACUGUCGUGGAUAAGGGUUCCGAGUGAACAGUGUUUGUUCUCGGGUUAGGCGGUCCUAAGAGGGAGUCUUGAAGGCUCUGAACGACAUUAGUCGGCCUCGAAAGGGAAAAAGGUUAAUAUUCCUUUUCUUGACUCCAAUUACAGUGGCGACACAAUGCCAAUUCACCUAUCAGGCGAUUCUCCGAGGGGCGACUCCUUUGCUUCCUAAUUGCUCAACACUCUCGAAUUGAAUUGGUCGGCGACAGAGUUUAAGAGCAACGUAUACUCUCUAUUCAGCGAGUUCGGUAGAUAUCGAAUGAUCCAUGAAACGUGAAUUGUGAAAAUUUGAAGUCAAUCCGUACCCUAAACCGCAUCAGGUCUCUCGGGUUAAUAGCCCCAAGUUUGAUAGGAAAAUGUGUGUGAGGGAAGUCGGCAAAUUGGAUCUGUAACUUUGGAAUAAAGGUUGGCUCUGGGAGUCAUUCCGUAGGUUUCGGGAUUUCUCGAAACACUUGGCAUUCGUGCUGCGGAAGUAUUGACAACCCCAGAACUGGUGUUGACUAGAGGAAUCUGACUGUUUAAUUAAAACAAAGCAUUGUGAAAAGCCCCAAGGCUAUACACGCAAUGUGAUUUCUGCCCAGUGCUCUGAAUGUCAUUGUGAUGGAAUUCAUAUAAGCGCGGGUAAACGGCGGGAGUAACUAUGACUCUCUUAAGGUAGCCAAAUGCCUCGUCGUCUAAUUAAUGACGCGCAUGAAUGGAUCAACGAGAUUCCUACUGUCCCCACUCACCACCUAGCGAAACCACAGCUAAGGGAACGGGCUUGGCAGAAUAAGCGGGGAAAGAAGACCCUGUUGAGCUUGACUCUAGUUUGAUUUUGUGGAGUGACUUAUGAGGUGCAGAAUACGUGGGAGCACUUGUGCGAUCUUGAGAUACCACGACUCUUAAUGUCGCUCUGCUUACCCGAUCACAUGAACUCUGCACUGCAGUACGCAAUCCAAGUUCGCUUGUCGGAUGAUUCUUUGCGGGAACAGAAUCAGAUGGGGAGUUUGGCUGGGGCGGCACAUCUGCUAAAAUGCAACGCAGAUGCCCUAAGGUUAACUCAAAGAGAACAGAAAUCUCUUGUAGACUGAAAGGGGAAAAGUUAGCUUGAUUCUGAUUUCCAGUGAUAAUAAGAACUGCGAAAGCAUGGCCUAUCGAUCCUUUAAGUCCAGGUUGAUUCUGGCUAGAGGUGACAGAAAAGUUACCACAGGGAUAACUGGCUUGUGGCAGCCAAGCGUUCAUAGCGACGUUGCUUUUUGAUCCUUCGAUGUCGGCUCUUCCUAUCAUUGAGACGCAGAAGUCCCAAAGUGUCGGAUUGUUCACCCGUUAAUAGGGAACGUGAGCUGGGUUUAGACCGUCGUGAGACAGGUUAGUUUUACCCUACUUAUAGAUGCAUCACAAGAGUAGAGCAACCUAGUACGAGAGGAACAGUUGCUCCAAGUCACUGGUAGAGGGGUUGGUUGGAUAGCCAGUGCCCCGAAGCUACACUUGCGGGAUAAUGGCUGAACGCCUCUAAGCC